AUUGAACGCUGGCGGCAUGCCAUACACAUGCAAGUCGAACGGCAGCACGGGAGCAAUCCUGGUGGCGAGUGGCGAACGGGUGAGUAAUAUAUCGGAACGUGCCCAGUAGUGGGGGAUAACUGCUCGAAAGAGCAGCUAAUACCGCAUACGACCUGAGGGUGAAAGGGGGGGAUCGCAAGACCUCUCGCUAUUGGAGCGGCCGAUAUCAGAUUAGCUAGUUGGUGGGGUAAAGGCCUACCAAGGCAACGAUCUGUAGUUGGUCUGAGAGGACGACCAGCCACACUGGGACUGAGACACGGCCCAGACUCCUACGGGAGGCAGCAGUGGGGAAUUUUGGACAAUGGGCACAAGCCUGAUCCAGCAAUGCCGCGUGCAGGAAGAAGGCCUUCGGGUUGUAAACUGCUUUUGUCAGGGAAGAAAUCCUCUAGGUUAAUACCCUUGGGGGGAUGACGGUACCUGAAGAAUAAGCACCGGCCAACUACGUGCCAGCCGCCGCGGUAAGAC
rnacentral:rRNA from 1 species